UAGGAUUUAUGUAUUUUAUUUAACUCUUUUGAUUUCUAUGUGUGAUAUUGAGUGUCGAAACAAACUAACUUAAUUAUGCACAGAUAAUCCAACAAUUGAAUUUGUACCAAAUGUUACAAAGAUUUUGGUGGAUCCUGACAUAUCGGAAGUACGAUCUUUUAAGUAUAGAAUGCAUGUUAUUGGAUUUGAUUGUACAUCUCCCAUGAAUGUUCUAUGUUCAAUUCCAAAUGAGACAUACCAGGAAGAUCUUCUUCAAAAAUAUCCUAGAAAAACUAUUGAAGAGCUGAAGACCUCUACGGAUGACGGAGAUUUUGUCGUUGUUGGAAGUAUUGCUGAUUUUGUGAAUGGAGAGAAUUGGUGGUUUCCUUCUUUUGAAUGCACAAACAUUCUGAAUCGAUGUUCUAGGUCGAAAUAUUGCACUGAUUGUGUUAUGAGUGUUCUUCCAUUUAAACCAAAAUAGAGUGGAAGUUCGACUUUUUUGUUCAUCCCAUUGACUUUUAUCUUCAAGGUUGAAAAAAAGAAACUUGUGAAUUCUGUCAAUGGGGGCUAUUUUAAUGUGAGGAAAAUUUGUGGUGAUAUUAAGCCUUUGGUAAUGUUUCUUAUAUCCAAGCUUAUGUAGAACAAUGUCAUGUCCACAUCAAAGGGAUUUUGUGAUGCUUGUUGUUUAGGAUUUUUUUGGUUGGGUGGAUCACUAUGGAUGCUUCUCAGCUUGGAAUUUAUAUUUUGAGGGAAAGCUUGGAAACUAUAUGUAUUCCUUUUUUUUAGAUUUGUAUUUGUACUUAUAUUUAAGUUUGCUUAUCUGUGCUAUUUGUAUUUUUUAUUUUCUU